GCGGCUAUGGUUUAGUGGUAAAACGAGUCCUUCCCAAGGAUUAGUCCAGAGCAGGACUUUCGUAAAGUCAAGGUCGAGAGUUCGAUUCUCUCUCCUGGCU
rnacentral:tRNA from 1 species